GGGAAUGUAACCGGGUAGAAUUGGAAUGAGAUGCCUGCAGAGACAGCACGAGGGGGGUGAACCCUACACGCGCAUGGCAGCCUUUUUGUGCUCAGGCUACCAGAGAGCUCAUCAGCCCCACCCUUGGGGCCAUCUUAAACUGCCAGGGCUCCUGCAAAAAGCACAAAAAUGCAACACCCACGGCGCCAAACGGACUGCCAAAAGGCCACUUGUUUACAAAUCGAGUUGAAACAGAAGCCAGAGCGUCACCUUGUCUGACCUCAGCUGGGAGCAGGUGCUUCGGACGCUCCCGUCUGUGGCUGCUCCACCCAUGUCACAGAUGCCCAGGCGCUGCGUGUCCUGAUCUGGGAGUUACAAUAAACUGAGCGAGAAGAUGCUACGUCUAAUGAAGUCUAGAUGAUGUGGUCUCCUCUGCUGCCCUCAGCACUCACCCUUAGUGGACUUCCAGCACAUUCCACUGUGGAGAGAACCAAACACCUCCUUACGAUCAGCUCCUAGUGUCACUUUCUCUCGGGGCAGCAAAGCCACUGAGAUUUCCCGGAGGCCUCGCUCCGUGCGUCCACGCUGUCGGGGGAGAGGUCACGUGGAGUUCAUCCCUCAUCAGACGGCCUGGCUGCAAAGCGGCUGGGCCUGCAGGUCACAGGCCAGCCCCAGGCCUGUUUGGUCUGUGGCCCCUGAGAUUCACCUGGGAAGCCCUAAGGAGACCCGUGCUUCGCAGGGCAAAGACGCAGGCGGGUCUGUCUGGUCCUCCUGGAGGGGGACAGGGAAGGGCCUUGGGACCAGCUGAAUCACCUGCUGGUACCCUCCCAGCCGUGCCAGGGUUGCGGCUGUCUGGAGGGGAAGGGUUUCCUCUUUAAAACGGCCCUGAAAGGUCCACAGUGCAUCGGGACGGCUCGGGCCGGGGCUCUCAGCCUCUCCUGGGCGCGGCGGAGUCACCGGGCAUGCGCAUUAAAGACAUAGGCAGCAGGUCUGGUCCAGGCGAGCCCCCCCCCACCCCACCGCUCCGAGGUGGCCUGGACCCGGGAUGACGGAGGGCAUCAGGGUCCCCGGGCGCCCCACUCAGGGGGCUUGUGAGUGUGAGGCGCUGGCUGGGGUCCUUCCGAGGAGCUCGUGUGGGGCGCGUGACGGCCGGGGUCUGGCCGGGGCCCUACACGCCGCACUUGCCAUUAGAUGGGCUGAGAAGGGAACGGCGAAUCUUAACCUUUCACACCGAGGAAGCGGCUGCGGGAGACGAGGGACACCAGACGUCAAGUAACCUGACAUCCUCAGCCAUCGAAGAGAUUAGAUCAAGGAAUCUGGCCUGAUACGUUUACUGAAGAUCCGCUGGCGAACUCCUUAAAGAGAGACACAAGCAGAAUGAAAUGAAAACCAAAUCACUCCGCCUUCCAUCCUGUAAACCUCUUGGGAUUCCCAGAAGUUAGAUUAUUUGGUCUAUGACGCCAGAUGGCUUUGGAAUUUUGGAGAAGUAGUGUCCA
rnacentral:lncRNA from 1 species